rnacentral:rRNA from 1 species
UACGUAGGGGGCAAGCGUUAUCCGGAAUUACUGGGUGUGAAGGGAGCGUAGACGGUAAUGUAAGUCUGGAGUGAAAGGCGGGGGCCCGACCCCCGGACUGCUCUGGAAACUAUGUUACUAGAGUGCAGGAGAGGUAAGCGGAAUUCCUAGUGUAGCGGUGAAAUGCGUAGAUAUUAGGAGGAACACCAGUGGCGAAGGCGGCUUACUGGACUGUAACUGACGUUGAGGCUCGAAAGCGUGGGGAGCAAACAGG